rnacentral:rRNA from 1 species
UUGAACGCUGGCGGCAGGCCUAACACAUGCAAGUCGAACGGUAACAGGAAGCAGCUUGCUGUUUCGCUGACGAGUGGCGGACGGGUGAGUAAUGUCUGGGAAACUGCCUGAUGGAGGGGGAUAACUACUGGAAACGGUAGCUAAUACCGCAUAACGUCGCAAGACCAAAGAGGGGGACCUUCGGGCCUCUUGCCAUCGGAUGUGCCCAGAUGGGAUUAGCUAGUAGGUGGGGUAACGGCUCACCUAGGCGACGAUCCCUAGCUGGUCUGAGAGGAUGACCAGCCACACUGGAACUGAGACACGGUCCAGACUCCUACGGGAGGCAGCAGUGGGGAAUAUUGCACAAUGGGCGCAAGCCUGAUGCAGCCAUGCCGCGUGUAUGAAGAAGGCCUUCGGGUUGUAAAGUACUUUCAGCGGGGAGGAAGGGAGUAAAGUUAAUACCUUUGCUCAUUGACGUUACCCGCAGAAGAAGCACCGGCUAACUCCGUGCCAGCAGCCGCGGUAAUACGGAGGGUGCAAGCGUUAAUCGGAAUUACUGGGCGUAAAGCGCACGCAGGCGGUUUGUUAAGUCAGAUGUGAAAUCCCCGGGCUCAACCUGGGAACUGCAUCUGAUACUGGCAAGCUUGAGUCUCGUAGAGGGGGGUAGAAUUCCAGGUGUAGCGGUGAAAUGCGUAGAGAUCUGGAGGAAUACCGGUGGCGAAGGCGGCCCCCUGGACGAAGACUGACGCUCAGGUGCGAAAGCGUGGGGAGCAAACUGGAUUAGAUACCCUGGUAGUCCACGCCGUAAACGAUGUCGACUUGGAGGUUGUGCCCUUGAGGCGUGGCUUCCGGAGCUAACGCGUUAAGUCGACCGCCUGGGGAGUACGGCCGCAAGGUUAAAACUCAAAUGAAUUGACGGGGGCCCGCACAAGCGGUGGAGCAUGUGGUUUAAUUCGAUGCAACGCGAAGAACCUUACCUGGUCUUGACAUCCACGGAAGUUUUCAGAGAUGAGAAUGUGCCUUCGGGAACCGUGAGACAGGUGCUGCAUGGCUGUCGUCAGCUCGUGUUGUGAAAUGUUGGGUUAAGUCCCGCAACGAGCGCAACCCUUAUCCUUUGUUGCCAGCGGUCCGGCCGGGAACUCAAAGGAGACUGCCAGUGAUAAACUGGAGGAAGGUGAGGAUGACGUCAAGUCAUCAUGGCCCUUACGACCAGGGCUACACACGUGCUACAAUGGCGCAUACAAAGAGAAGCGACCUCGCGAGAGCAAGCGGACCUCAUAAAGUGCGUCGUAGUCCGGAUUGGAGUCUGCAACUCGACUCCAUGAAGUCGGAAUCGCUAGUAAUCGUGGAUCAGAAUGCCACGGUGAAUACGUUCCCGGGCCUUGUACACACCGCCCGUCACACCAUGGGAGUGGGUUGCAAAAGAAGUAGGUAGCUUAACCUUCGGGAGGGCGCUUACCACUUUGUGAUUCAUGACUGGGGUG